UAUUAAAAAUUUUAUUCAUUUGUACUGUUAAAAACUAUCAUAACUAACAGAAUAAUCAAACAAUGACAUAUGAUAUGUCACGUGUAUCAAAUUGUAACAGCAAAAAUGGAUGAAACUUUUAAUA
rfam:Gossypium hirsutum cultivar TM-1 unplaced genomic scaffold scaffold1251.1, whole genome shotgun sequence